CCUACGGGAGGCAGCAGUGGGGAAUCUUGCGCAAUGGGCGAAAGCCUGACGCAGCCAUGCCGCGUGAAUGAUGAAGGUCUUAGGAUUGUAAAAUUCUUUCACCGGGGACGAUAAUGACGGUACCCGGAGAAGAAGCCCCGGCUAACUUCGUGCCAGCAGCCGCGGUGAUACGAAGGGGGCUAGCGUUGCUCGGAAUUACUGGGCGUAAAGGGAGCGUAGGCGGAUAGUUUAGUCAGAGGUGAAAGCCCAGGGCUCAACCUUGGAAUUGCCUUUGAUACUGGCUAUCUUGAGUAUGGGAGAGGUUAGCGGAACUCCGAGUGUAGAGGUGAAAUUCGUAGAUAUUCGGAAGAACACCAGUGGCGAAGGCGGCUAACUGGCCCAUUACUGACGCUGAGGCUCGAAAGCGUGGGGAGCAAACAGGAUUAGAUACCCUGGUAGUCCACGCCGUAAACGAUGAGUGCUAGUUGUCGGCAUGCAUGCAUGUCGGUGACGCAGCUAACGCAUUAAGCACUCCGCCUGGGGAGUACGGUCGCAAGNUUAAAACUCAAAGGAAUUGACGGNNGAGAGNGCGAGACGACGACGAGGGAGAGG
rnacentral:rRNA from 1 species